rnacentral:rRNA from 1 species
UACGUAGGGCCCGAGCGUUAUCCGGAAUUACUGGGCGUAAAGAGUGCGUAGGUGUUUUAUUAAGUCGGUCGUUAAAUCUCACCGCUUAACGGUGGGGCCGCGAGCGAUACUAAUAGAAUUGAGACCUGCAGGGGCGAGCAGAAUUUCUGGAGUAGGGGUGAAAUCCGUUGAUACCAGAAGGAAUACCAAUGGCGAAGGCAGCUCGCUAGGCAAGGACUGACACUGAGGCACGAAAGCGUGGGGAGCAAACGGG